AGGCCUGCAUGCAAAGUGCAACAAAACAAAAGACACCUAGGAAAAGGAGCACAUCAGCACUGCACAGGAAUUUGGACGCGGUAUCUUUUGUGAUUACUGUCAGAUGAGCCACUGACAAUAUUUGAAGUAACAUGCCGCAUGUUCUAGGACAAGACACGUGGAACAAGGAAACACAAGCUAUUACAACAGUAUGCUCAAGAUUGAACCUCACCUGACAUCGGAGUCUGUCUCAAUCACAUCAGUGAGAGAUAACAGAAGCUGUGUAGGAAGAAAAGGAAAAUGAGUUAACUUUAUCAUGCUACAGUGUAAUAAAAAACCCAUUUUAAAAUCUGAUAAUCUAAAAUAGGUUGUUAUCAGUUUGUUGGGACUGAUAUUUUUCCUGUAGUAAACUGUACUGUUUGUAUAUUGUAACUAUACUGUUUGUAUAUUGUAAUUAUACAAUAUUACC